rnacentral:rRNA from 1 species
UACGAAGGGGGCUAGCGUUGCUCGGAAUCACUGGGCGUAAAGGGUGCGUAGGCGGGUUCUUAAGUCCGAGGUGAAAUCCUGGAGCUCAACUCCAGAACUGCCUUUGAUACUGAGAGUCUUGAGUUCGGGAGAGGUGAGUGGAACUGCGAGUGUAGAGGUGAAAUGCGUAGAUAUUGGGAGGAACACCGGUGGCGAAGGCGGCUACCUGGACCGGUACUGACGCUGAGGCGCGAAAGCUAGGGUAGCAAACAGG